rnacentral:lncRNA from 1 species
AUGGCCAACAAAAAGCCCAAGGAAGAAGUCAAAACUGAGAACAACGAUCAUAUUAACUUGAAGGUGGCAGGGCAGAAUGGUUCUGUGGUGCAGUUUAAGAUUAAGAGGCAUACACCACUUGGUAAACUAAUGAAAGACUAUUGUGAAUGACAGGGAUUGUCAAUGAGGCAGAUGAGAUUCCAAUUUGAUGGGCAAUCAAUCACUGAAACAGACAUACCUGCACAUUUGGAAAUGGAGGCUGAAGAUACAAUGGAUGUGUUCCAGUAGCAGACG